UGAGGAAUAUUGGUCAAUGGGCGAGAGCCUGAACCAGCCAAGUAGCGUGCAGGAUGACGGCCCUAUGGGUUGUAAACUGCUUUUGUAUGGGGAUAAAGUCAAUCACGUGUGAUUGUUUGCAGGUACCAUACGAAUAAGGACCGGCUAAUUCCGUGCCAGCAGCCGCGGUAAUACGGAAGGUCCGGGCGUUAUCCGGAUUUAUUGGGUUUAAAGGGAGCGUAGGCUGGAGAUUAAGUGUGUUGUGAAAUGUAGACGCUCAACGUCUGACUUGCAGCGCAUACUGGUUUCCUUGAGUACGCACAACGUUGGCGGAAUUCGUCGUGUAGCGGUGAAAUGCUUAGAUAUGACGAAGAACUCCGAUUGCGAAGGCAGCUGACGGGAGCGCAACUGACGCUGAAGCUCGAAGGUGCGGGUAUCGAACAGGAUUAGAUACCCUGGUAGUCCGCACAGUAACGAUGGAUGCCCGCUGUUGGUACCUGGUAUCAGCGGCUAAGCGAAAGCAUUAAGCAUCCCACCUGGGGAGUACGCCGGCNCGGU
rnacentral:rRNA from 1 species